CAGUGGUAAAAUUGGCUUUAGUAGGGAGGGGGAGCCCUUAUUUACGGUGAAUGGUCAUCAUUCAAAAUCCUGCCGUAAAAUGAUUUAAUGUGUUUUUACACCAAAGGUAAAAUCCCUGUAUUGUAA